rnacentral:rRNA from 1 species
GAUGAACGCUGGCGGCGUGCCUAAUACAUGCAAGUCGAGCGAACAGACGAGGAGCUUGCUCCUCUGACGUUAGCGGCGGACGGGUGAGUAACACGUGGAUAACCUACCUAUAAGACUGGGAUAACUUCGGGAAACCGGAGCUAAUACCGGAUAAUAUAUUGAACCGCAUGGUUCAAUAGUGAAAGACGGUUUUGCUGUCACUUAUAGAUGGAUCCGCGCCGCAUUAGCUAGUUGGUAAGGUAACGGCUUACCAAGGCAACGAUGCGUAGCCGACCUGAGAGGGUGAUCGGCCACCCUGGAACUGAGCCACGGUCCAGACUCCUACGGGAGGCAGCAGUAGGGAAUCUUCCGCAAUGGGCGAAAGCCUGACGGAGCAACGCCGCGUGAGUGAUGAAGGUCUUCGGAUCGUAAAACUCUGUUAUUAGGGAAGAACAAAUGUGUAAGUAACUAUGCACGUCUUGACGGUACCUAAUCAGAAAGCCACGGCUAACUACGUG